GACGAACGCUGGCGGCGUGCUUAACACAUGCAAGUCGAGCGGUAAGGCCCUUUCGGGGGUACACGAGCGGCGAACGGGUGAGUAACACGUGGGUGACCUGCCCUCAGCUCUGGGAUAAGCCUGGGAAACCGGGUCUAAUACCGGAUAUGACUCCAUGACGCAUGUUGUGGGGUGAAAGCCUUGUGCGGCUGAGGAUGGGCCCGCGGCCUAUCAGCUUGUUGGUGGGGUA
rnacentral:rRNA from 1 species